AUUGAACGCUGGCGGCAGGCCUAACACAUGCAAGUCGAGCGAGCGGCGGACGGGUGAGUAAUGUAUGGGGAUCUGCCUGAUGGAGGGGGAUCACUAGUGAACACGGUAGCUAAUACCGCAUCCCAUCAGAUGAACCCAUAUGGGAUUAGCUGGUAGGGGUGGUAACGGCUCACCUAGGCGACGAUCCCUAGCUGGUCUGAGAGGAAGAUCAGCCACAUGGGAACUGAGACACGGCCCAGAUGCCUACGGGAGGCAGCAGGGGGGAAUAUUGCACAAUGGGCGCAAGCCUGAUGCAGCCAUGCCGCGUGAAUGAAGAAGGCCUUCGGGGUGUAAAGUACUUUCGGUGGAGAGGCGUUAACUACAGAAGAAGCACCGGCUAACUCCGUGCCAGCAGCCGCGGUAAUAC
rnacentral:rRNA from 1 species